UACAGAGGGGGCAAGCGUUGUUCGGAAUUACUGGGCGUAAAGGGCGCGUAGGCGGCCUUCUAAGUCGAACGUGAAAUCCCCGGGCUCAACCCGGGAACUGCGUCCGAUACUGGAAGGCUUGAAUCCGGGAGAGGGAUGCGGAAUUCCAGGUGUAGCGGUGAAAUGCGUAGAUAUCUGGAGGAACACCGGUGGCGAAGGCGGCAUCCUGGACCGGCAUUGACGCGUGACGGCGCGAAAGCGUGGGAGCAACAGG
rnacentral:rRNA from 1 species